UACGUAGGGUCCGAGCGUUGUCCGGAAUUACUGGGCGUAAAGAGCUCGUAGGUGGUUUGUCGCGUUGUUCGUGAAAACUCACAGCUUAACUGUGGGCGUGCGGGCGAUACGGGCAGACUUGAGUACUGCAGGGGAGACUGGAAUUCCUGGUGUAGCGGUGGAAUGCGCAGAUAUCAGGAGGAACACCGGUGGCGAAGGCGGAUCUCUGGGCCGAUACUGACGCUGAGGAGCGAAAGCGUGGGGAGCGAACAGG
rnacentral:rRNA from 1 species